rnacentral:rRNA from 1 species
UACAGAGGGGGCAAGCGUUGUUCGGAAUUACUGGGCGUAAAGGGCGCGUAGGCGGCCUGUUAAGUCGAACGUGAAAUCCCCAGGCUCAACCUGGGAACUGCGUCCGAUACUGGCAGGCUUGAAUCCGGGAGAGGGAUGCGGAAUUCCAGGUGUAGCGGUGAAAUGCGUAGAUAUCUGGAGGAACACCGGUGGCGAAGGCGGCAUCCUGGACCGGCAUUGACGCUGAGGCGCGAAAGCGUGGGGAGCGAACAGG